rnacentral:rRNA from 1 species
UACAGAGGGGGCAAGCGUUGUUCGGAAUUACUGGGCGUAAAGGGCGCGUAGGCGGUCUUGCAAGUCCCGUGUGAAAUCCCUCGGCUCAACUGAGGAAUGGCACGGGAAACUGCUUGGCUUGAGUUCGGGAGAGGGAAGCGGAAUUCCGGGUGUAGCGGUGAAAUGCGUAGAUAUCCGGAGGAACACCGGUGGCGAAGGCGGCUUCCUGGACCGACACUGACGCUGAGGCGCGAAAGCUAGGGGAGCAAACGGG